rnacentral:rRNA from 1 species
GUGCGCGUGCUAUACAUGCAGUCGAGCGAAUGGAUUAAGAGCUUGCUCUUAUGAAGUUAGCGGCGGACGGGUGAGUAACACGUGGGUAACCUGCCCAUAAGACUGGGAUAACUCCGGGAAACCGGGGCUAAUACCGGAUAACAUUUUGAACCGCAUGGUUCGAAAUUGAAAGGCGGCUUCGGCUGUCACUUAUGGAUGGACCCGCGUCGCAUUAGCUAGUUGGUGAGGUAACGGCUCACCAAGGCAACGAUGCGUAGCCGACCUGAGAGGGUGAUCGGCCACACUGGGACUGAGACACGGCCCAGACUCCUACGGGAGGCAGCAGUAGGGAAUCUUCCGCAAUGGACGAAAGUCUGACGGAGCAACGCCGCGUGAGUGAUGAAGGCUUUCGGGUCGUAAAACUCUGUUGUUAGGGAAGAACAAGUGCUAGUUGAAUAAGCUGGCACCUUGACGGUACCUAACCAGAAAGCCACGGCUAACUACGUGCCAGCAGCCGCGGUAAUACGUAGGUGGCAAGCGUUAUCCGGAAUUAUUGGGCGUAAAGCGCGCGCAGGUGGUUUCUUAAGUCUGAUGUGAAAGCCCACGGCUCAACCGUGGAGGGUCAUUGGAAACUGGGAGACUUGAGUGCAGAAGAGGAAAGUGGAAUUCCAUGUGUAGCGGUGAAAUGCGUAGAGAUAUGGAGGAACACCAGUGGCGAAGGCGACUUUCUGGUCUGUAACUGACACUGAGGCGCGAAAGCGUGGGGAGCAAACAGGAUUAGA